rnacentral:rRNA from 1 species
UACAGAGGGUGCAAGCGUUAAUCGGAAUUACUGGGCGUAAAGCGCGCGUAGGCGGUCAAGUAAGAUGGGUGUGAAAUCCCCGGGCUCAACCUGGGAACUGCAUCCAUAACUGCUUGACUAGAGUACAGUAGAGGGUGGUGGAAUUUCCUGUGUAGCGGUGAAAUGCGUAGAUAUAGGAAGGAACACCAGUGGCGAAGGCGACCACCUGGACUGAUACUGACGCUGAGGUGCGAAAGCGUGGGGAGCAAACAGG